rnacentral:lncRNA from 10 species
UGUCAUCCAUGUAAGAUGUGACUUGCUCCUCUUUGCCUUCCACCAUGAUUGUGAGGCCUCCCCAACCAUGUGGAACUGUAAGUCCACUAAACAUCUUUUGUAAAUUGCCCAGUCUCAGGUAUGUCUUUAUCAGCAGCAUGAAAACUGACUAAUACAAUACUCCUGUUGGUGGUUCCUGAUCUGAGAGAAAACACAUUGAUGUGGUCCUGCAGAGGCAAGACAGUUAGAGCUUGUGCUCAAUGUCCCUGAACCCCUAAUUGUGAGCCAGCCUUUGACUGGGAAGCAUAUGUUUACUUUAAUAUCAUGGUUCCAUUGCACCCUUUUCCUGCAAUAAUCUGCGGAUGAACAGCAUUAUUAUUUUAGAUCCUGUGAAUCUUCUUUGGCAAUCAGCCCUGUUUGACUACCACUGUCAGUGGGUGGAUGGUAAUCUUACUAGAUUUAUGAGCUCCCUGAAGUACUCUUGAGAGCAGUGUGAAGGGGUGGUAGGCUGAAUAAUGGUUCCCAAGAAAAACCAGGUCCUAAACCCUGGAACUUGAGCAUGUUACCAUGUAUGGCAAAACAGACUUUGCAGAUGUAAUUAAAUUAAGGAUUUUGAAAUGGAGAGAUUAUCCUGGAUUAGCCAGGUAGGCCCAAUGUAAUCACAAUAGUCCUUUGAAGAGAGAGGCAGAGGGAGAUUUUACUACAGAAGAAGACAAUGUGACUCUGGAAGCAGAGGGAGGAAAGACAACUGAUGCAAGAAAGGGGUCACGAGCCAAGGAAUGCAGGCAUAUCCAGACGCUUGAAAAACCAGAGCACAAAUUCUCCCCUAGAGCUUCCAAAGGAACUUGCCUGGUGACACCUUUCAGACUCAUUUCAAGCUGGGCCUCUAACUGUAAGAAAGUAAAUUUCUGUUGUUUAAUGCAAGUAAGUUUGUGGUAAUUUGUUACAGCAGCCACAGGAAACAUGAAGCUAACAUAUAGCAUUUAGCAGACUUCUUUUUAGACUUCAGAUGAUGGUAUUACCGUGGAAGGAGGGUGUCCUCAGAAAGACUUGGAGCUCUGAAGACCACCAGUAAAGCCUUCUGUGCAUGCUGUCACAGAUGCACUAUUGACCUAAUAGAAAAUGUGUCAAAGGACUAGAACAAGCAACUCAAGAAGACAUUUUAAUCACCAAUAAGCAAAGGAAGAAAUGUUUUCCCUGGUGAUAAUCACUAUUAUCAAAGUGUGAUUACAUUUCCAAUUAACUGAAAAAAUUUAGCAUCAGUUACGGCAAGCGUUGGCAUGGAGGAGAGGAAAGAAGAACGUUUAUGUUUUGUCAGUGGGAAUGCAGAAUCACCAGAGGAGAAAGAAGAAAGACUGAAGUCAAAUCACUGCUUUAAGAAAAAAGGAAGAGGUACAAUAAUUUCAGAAGGAAAGUUGAAGACUACAAAUGGAAUAGUAAACAAAGAAAAUGUUAAAAAUGAGAAUGGAUACAUAAAUUGUGAUGAUUUAUACAG